rnacentral:rRNA from 1 species
GACGAACGCUGGCGGCGUGCCUAACACAUGCAAGUCGAACGGGACCAGGGGCAACUCUGGUUCAGUGGCGGACGGGUGCGUAACACGUGAGGAACAUGACCUUCGGCGGGGGAGUAGCCGGCCCAACGGCCGGGUAAUACCGCGUACGACCACUCGGGACGAUCCCUAGGUGGUGAAAGACAGCAAUGCGCCGAUGGAGUGCCUCGCGGCCUAUCAGCUAGUUGGUGAGGUAACGGCUCACCAAGGCGACGACGGGUAGCUGGUCUGAGAGGAUGGCCAGCCACAUUGGGACUGAGACACGGCCCAGACUCCUACGGGAGGCAGCAGUGGGGAAUCUUGCGCAAUGGGCGAAAGCCUGACGCAGCGACGCCGCGUGAGGGAUGACGGCCUU